GACGUAGGAUGCAAGCGUUGUCCGGAUUUAUUGGGCGUAAAGAGUUCGUAGGCGGUUCGUUAAGUCUGAUGUUAAAUAUCGGGGCUCAACCUCGGGAGUGCAUUGGAUACUGGCGGACUGGAGUGUGGUAGAGGUUAGUGGAAUUCCCAGUGUAGCGAUGAAAUGCGUAGAUAUUGGGAAGAACACCAGUGGCGUAGGCGACUAACUGGGCCAUAACUGACGCUGAGGAACGAAAGCCAGGGGAGCGAAUGGG
rnacentral:rRNA from 1 species